rnacentral:rRNA from 1 species
GAUGAACGCUGGCGGCGUGCUUAACACAUGCAAGUCGAACGGAAAGGCCCAAGCUUGCUUGGGUACUCGAGUGGCGAACGGGUGAGUAACACGUGGGUGAUCUGCCCUGCACUUCGGGAUAAGCCUGGGAAACUGGGUCUAAUACCGGAUAGGACGAUGGUUUGGAUGCCAUUGUGGAAAGUUUUUUCGGUGUGGGAUGAGCUCGCGGCCUAUCGGCUUGUUGGUGGGGUAAUGGCCUACCAAGGCGUCGACGGGUAGCCGGCCUGAGAGGGUGUACGGCCACAUUGGGACUGAGAUACGGCCCAGACUCCUACGGGAGGCAGCAGUGGGGAAUAUUGCACAAUGGGCGCCAGCCUGAUGCAGCGACGCCGCGUGGGGGAUGACGGCCUUCGGGUUGUAAACUCCUUUCGCUAGGGACGAAGCGUUUUUGUGACGGUACCUGGAGAAGAAGCACCGGCUAACUACGU